rnacentral:rRNA from 1 species
GAUGAACGCUGGCGGCGUGCCUAAUACAUGCAAGUCGAGCGAACAGACGAGGAGCUUGCUCCUCUGACGUUAGCGGCGGACGGGUGAGUAACACGUGGAUAACCUACCUAUAAGACUGGGAUAACUUCGGGAAACCGGAGCUAAUACCGGAUAAUAUAUUGAACCGCAUGGUUCAAUAGUGAAAGACGGUUUUGCUGUCACUUAUAGAUGGAUCCGCGCCGCAUUAGCUAGUUGGUAAGGUAACGGCUUACCAAGGCAACGAUGCGUAGCCGACCCGAGAGGGGGAUCGGCCACACUGGAACUGAGACACGGUCCAGACUCCUACGGGAGGCAGCAGUAGGGAAUCUUCCGCAAUGGGCGAAAGCCUGACGGAGCAACGCCGCGUGAGUGAUGAAGGUCUUCGGAUCGUAAAACUCUGUUAUUAGGGAAGAACAAAUGUGUAAGUAACUAUGCACGUCUUGACGGUACCUAAUCAGAAAGCCACGGCUAACUACGUG